ensembl:lncRNA novel transcript, sense intronic to FAM46A
AAAGGAAAACAGCCUGUUCAUUUCAUGGAAGGACGUUUUGGAAAAAUAGAUCCAGACCUACAUAGAAAGAAAGAUUUGAGUGCACACUACAUACAUUAGAAGAGAAAAAUAAAGGAAAAUCAGACUGCUAUGAAAACCAAGUUUCCCACUUCAUGCUAAAAAGUGGUAACAUUGCAUGUCAGACUGAAGAAAGACACCUGAGUCUAUGUUGAGUUGUGUUUGGCCCCUUGCAAGGUUGUCAUAAAUGAUUCAUUGUUUUGGCUUAAGGGGCUUUCAGCUGGAUGACAAAGCAUAAGGACAAAAAAUAUGAAAUUUGUCA